UACAGAGGCUACAAGCGUUGUUCGGAUUUACUGGGCGUAAAGCGUGCGUAGGCGGUCUUGAGAGUCGCGGGUGAAAUCCCAGGGCUUAACCCUGGAACUGCCUGCGAGACCUCAGUACUAGAGUGUGAGAGGGGAUAGCGGAAUACCAAGUGUAGCGGUGAAAUGCGUAGAGAUUUGGUGGAACACCGGUGGCGAAGGCGGCUAUCUGGCUCACAACUGACGCUCAGGCACGAAAGCGUGGGUAGCAAACAGG
rnacentral:rRNA from 1 species